rnacentral:rRNA from 1 species
AAAUGCGCGUCCGUCCAUCCGUCCCGUCUUGAAACACGGACCAAGGAGUCUAGCAUGUGCGCGAGUCACGGGGAGUUCUAACCCCCACGGCGAUAGUGAAAGCGACAAAGCUCCGUCUCCGCUUCAAAGCGGAGUCGGCAGCGUUGGGCCGAUCCGAUCAAUUAGCUGAUUGAUCGAAACGACGGCGGUCUGCUGCUUCUUCUUUGAAGGAGGAGAUCGCGAUGAUGAUGAUGAUGAUGAUAAUAAUAAUAAUACAAAAUCAGCUAGCGGUAAAAUUGUCCAUCGGCGCAGGCCCGGGGCUCGUCAUACGACUCGCUACCCGUCGAAGACCGUCGAAGCGAUUCCGGUGAAAUAGUAGUCAUAGGCGUAUCGCGCCGCUCCCCUUUUCUCGUUCUUCUUCCUC